AUUGAACGCUGGCGGAAUGCUUUACACAUGCAAGUCGAACGGCAGCACGGGGGUAACCCUGGUGGCGAGUGGCGAACGGGUGAGUAAUACAUAGGAACAUACCCAGUAAUGGGGGAUAACGCCGAGAAAUCGGUGCUAAUACCGCAUACGCCCUACGGGGGAAAGCGGGGGAUCUUAGGACCUCGCGUUAUUGGAUUGGCCUAUGUCUGAUUAGCUAGUUGGUGAGGUAAAGGCUCACCAAGGCUACGAUCAGUAGGGGGUCUGAGAGGAUGUCCCCCCACACUGGUACUGAGACACGGACCAGACUCCUACGGGAGGCAGCAGUAGGGAAUAUUGGUCAAUGGGCGCAAGCCUGAACCAGCCAUGCCGCGUGCAGGAUUAAGGCCCUAUGGGUCGUAAACUGCUUUUGUACGGGAAGAAACCUAUCUACGUGUAGAUAGUUGACGGUACCGUGAGAAUAAGGAUCGGCUAACUUCGUG
rnacentral:rRNA from 1 species